CAGGCACGCCGGGGAGGAGGCUCGCAGCCGCCUCAGGAAUGCGCGAUGGCCGCAGGCCGCAGCAGUGUUUUCCAAAGAGUAAAUAUUAUGGAAAUAUUUCACUUCUCCUCCAUGUGACCACCUACAUGCAUCGAUAGAAAGCAAAUCCAGACUUCAAAGCAUCUGACAAGAGGCAGGCAGACCUUGUUUCGUCAUCCAUCCAAGAAAGGAGCUGCAGCACAGAGUGGCAAGGCUUCCCCAGCAGUUUGGAAGUUAACCUCUGAGGACACCCUCAUGCAGAGAUGGCAGCAGAAGGAGACAGAGCAGUGUGGCUGGGAAGCACUGUGAGAAGCUGAAAUCUCCUUUUCCCUCAUGUCUGUGGGAUUCCCAGCACAUCUGCAUUGUAGGGAGGCUGUGUGCCAUCUACAUGCCCCACUGUUAAGAAGAGGAAAGAAGUUUUAUGAUGACAAAAGUGACACCUGAGGAAACCAGAGCAUAACAUCUCUGCUGGCUGGAAACAUGUAUUAAAGGAGACUUCCAGAGUUUAGCUUAGUGCCAUGUAGUCCUCCUUUUCAAUAUGGAACUGGACAGAAUGUAAAAGCACGCACCUCUGGGUAAGCAGCAGAUCCUGCCCUGUCUCUGUUUCAGCCUCUAUGCAGCAACGUUUCUUACACACAAAGAAUUCAGGCUCUCUACACUUCCUCAGAUCCAAAAUCAGACCUUUUCAGGUUCCUCUUAGACCCAUAAAAAACAAGGGUGGGAGUGGAGAGGGAGAAUGAGGCCAGUAACUGUUAAAUCCUGCCACGUAGUAGCCCAGGGAAGAGAAAAGAAAUUGCAGGCUCAGAGCUGUAUUAAGCACAAUAAAUUGCCCUUACCCCUUAGCAAGCCAUGAGAGGAUGGACAGUCUGCUGGGGUGGAUCCCAGACAUGGGCGAGUGCCUUUCCCAGCGCAGAGGCUUGUCCUCUGUGACCUUGGGCAAACCAUUUAACCUCUCUCCAUAUCACUGUUCUGUUUCUGAAAUGAAAAUAAACUGCAGUAAUGCACCAGGAAAGCUAAAUGUGGUGGUGAUUACGAGGGGCUCAGAUGAGGAUGAAGGUGAGAUAAAUACUUUAGACAGAUUAAAAAAAAAAAAAUCCUUCCUCUACUCCAGUGAAACCUUCAAACAUUAAACUCAGCUUCUUGGUA